rnacentral:lncRNA from 1 species
UGGAGCCCAGUCUGGCCUGGUCCUUGCCACAAUCCUCUUGACUUAAGUCUCCCGAGUGCCAGGAUUCCAGGCAUGAAACCCCCAUGCCAGCACGUUGUGCCUUUGUUCUUUGGAGUGCCCCUGUACAGUGAAGGGGGCCCUGGCUCCCAUCCCGUUCUGUUAAGUUGACUGACUCUCCACAAACAUCCAAGGGACAAAUACUUUUCGAUCAGUGAGUUUACAAAGUGAAUUCCAGGACAGCCAGGGCUACACCGAGAAACCCUGUCUCGGAAAAAAAACAACAACAACAACAAAAAGAAUACUUUCCCCUCCCCCAGAACAACUUUUUUUAGAGCUUAAAAGAAAAUCCCCAAGGUGGACAAGGUGUAAGUUUCAGCAGCUACCCUUAGGAGAAAAAGCUGUUAAUAUGGCGGCCAAUCAGCCGCGUGGCAGACAAGCAUGGUGAGAGGAGACACUGUAGAGAAAUGUUCCACCAUCUGAGGACCAAGUAUUCAAACCCGAGGUUAUGGAGGCCACAUUCAUUCAAGACCUCACAUCACACGCACAUCAUGUUCUUAAGCUGCUUCCUGCUUCUGGACGAGAACUCUCAGGUUCCUGUUCUGGCCACCCUGAGAAAGUGUGCUGAGAACCAGAAGAAAACAAGAGCUGGGUGUAACAGCACUUGGGACGCAGUGAGUUCCAGGCUAGCCUGAUCUACAUAGAGAAAGCCUACCAAGAGAAGAAAGAAAAAAAAAAAAAGAAGAAGAAGAAAAAGAAAUAUUUUGGUGGGGCAGUGGUAGUGCUCGUCAUUAAUCCCAGCAAUUCUGGAGACAGAGGUGGUGCUGUCUGUGUGUUGAGUGUUCUGGCCUGAAUGGUACUUCCAUCAUGGAGUCAGUUGUGCUAAGGUCUGGGGUCAGUUACAGCUUGCUACCUUGCUCGGAUUUGGAUUACAUAGCUGUCUGUGAAUCAUCCGGGCUUCUCUGAGUAACCCCUCACCCACAGUCCGGAACAGUGUCACACGCAUACCUGUGGCUGAGUCAGAGAGCCUGAGACCCAUCACAGGACCUGGAGGGUGGAGGGAAAG